UACGGGGGGGGCAAGCGUUGUUCGGAAUUACUGGGCGUAAAGGGCUCGUAGGCGGCCAACUAAGUCGGACGUGAAAUCCCCAGGCUCAACCUGGGAACUGCGUCCGAUACUGGAUGGCUUGAAUCCGGGAGAGGGAUGCAGAAUUCCAGGUGUAGCGGUGAAAUGCGUAGAUAUCGAGAGGAGCACCUGCGGCGAAGGCGGGUAGCUGGGCCAACACUGACGCUGAUGCGCGAAAGCUAGGGUAGCAAACGGG
rnacentral:rRNA from 1 species